rnacentral:misc_RNA from 1 species
UUUCCGUAGGUGAACCUGCGGAAGGAUCAUUACCUGGCCUUGGGCCGCUCGGGGGAGCCAGUCGCUUGCGACGACGCUGCCUUGGGCGCUUAGCCCUUGACUAUCACCUUGACUACGUGCACCUUUUGUUGUUUCCUCGGCAGGUCAUCUGCCGCCAGGAACCCCCUAAACCUUUUUGCAAUAGCAUCUAAACUUCUGAAAACAAACCAAAUCAUUUACAACUUUUAACAAUGGAUCUCUUGGUUCUG